UUGAACGCUGGCGGCAGGCCUAACACCUGCCAGUCGAACGGUAACAGGAAGCAGCUUGCUGCUUCGCUGACGAGUGGCGGACGGGUGAGUAAUGUCUGGGAAGCUGCCUGAUGGAGGGGGAUAACUACUGGAAACGGUAGCUAAUACCGCAUAAUGUCGCAAGACCAAAGAGGGGGACCUUCGGGCCUCUUGCCAUCGGAUGUGCCCAGGUGGGAUUAGCUUGUUGGUGGGGUAACGGCUCACCAAGGCGACGAUCCCUAGCUGGUCUGAGAGGAUGACCAGCCACACUGGAACUGAGACACGGUCCAGACUCCUACGGGAGGCAGCAGUGGGGAAUAUUGCACAAUGGGCGCAAGCCUGAUGCAGCCAUGCCGCGUGUAUGAAGAAGGCCUUCGGGUUGUAAAGUACUUUCAGCGGGGAGGAAGGGAGUAAAGUUAAUACCUUUGCUCAUUGACGUUACCCGCAGAAGAAGCACCGGCUAACUCCGUG
rnacentral:rRNA from 1 species